rnacentral:tRNA from 1 species
AACAUUGUGGUAGAGUGGUCUAAUGCGCAAGACUAGGAAUCUUGUCUCUUCGGAGGCGUCUGUUCAAAUCAGGCCAAUGUCG